AUUGAACGCUGGCGGCAUGCUUUACACAUGCAAGUCGAACGGUAACAGGCCGCAAGGUGCUGACGAGUGGCGAACGGGUGAGUAAUGCAUCGGAACGUGCCCAGUCGUGGGGGAUAACGCAGCGAAAGCUGCGCUAAUACCGCAUACGAUCUAUGGAUGAAAGCGGGGGACCGUAAGGCCUCGCGCGAUUGGAGCGGCCGAUGUCAGAUUAGGUAGUUGGUGGGGUAAAGGCCUACCAAGCCAACGAUCUGUAGCUGGUCUGAGAGGACGACCGGCCACACUGGGACUGAGACACGGCCCAGACUCCUACGGGAGGCAGCAGUGGGGAAUUUUGGACAAUGGGCGCAAGCCUGAUCCAGCAAUGCCGCGUGCAGGAAGAAGGCCUUCGGGUUGUAAACUGCUUUUGUACGGAACGAAACGGUCCGGGUUAAUACCCUGGGCUAAUGACGGUACCGUAAGAAUAAGCACCGGCUAACUACGUGCCAGCCGCCGCGGUAACAC
rnacentral:rRNA from 1 species